rnacentral:rRNA from 1 species
UACGUAGGGGGCAAGCAUUGUCCGGAUUUAUUGGGCGUAAAGAGCGUGUAGGCGGCUUGGUAGGUCCGCUGUGAAAACUCGAGGCUCAACCUCGAGAUGUCGGCGGAAACCACUUGGCUAGAGUCCGGAAGAGGAGAGUGGAAUUCCUGGUGUAGCGGUGAAAUGCGCAGAUAUCAGGAAGAACACCUAUGGCGAAGGCAGCUCUCUGGGACGGUACUGACGCUGAGGCGCGAAAGCGUGGGGAGCAAACAGG